rnacentral:tRNA from 1 species
AUGUUGGUGGUUCAGUGGUAGAAUUCUCGCCUUCCAUGCAGGAGACCUGGGUUCAAUUUCCGGCCAACACA